rnacentral:rRNA from 1 species
ACCAGACUCCUACGGGAGGCAGCAGCGGGGAAUAUUGGGCAAUGGGGGAAACCCUGACCCAGCGACGCCGCGUGAGGGAAGAAGGUUUUCGGAUUGUAAACCUCUGUCCUUGGUGACGAUAAUGACGGUAGCCAAGGAGGAAGCCACGGCUAACUACGUGCCAGCAGCCGCGGUAAUACGGAGGAUGCGAGCGUUAUCCGGAUUUAUUGGGUUUAAAGGGUGCGCAGGCGGCACGGCAAGCCGGCGGUCAAAUCGCGGGGCUCAACCCCGCCCAGCCGUCGGAACUGCCGGGCUAGAGUGGGCGAGAAGUGCGCGGAGUGCGUGGUGUAGCGGUGAAAUGCAUAGAUAUCACGCAGAACUCCGAUUGCGAAGGCAGCGCACCGGCGCCCUACUGACGCUCAGGCACGAAAGCGUGGGUAUCGAACAGGAUUAGAUACCCGUGUAC